AAGGCUUUAAGUUAAAAUUUAAACUAAUAUCCUUCAAAGCUAUAAAUAAAGAUUAAAUUUCUUUAAGCCUUA
rnacentral:tRNA from 1 species